UACGGGGGGGGUAAGCGUUGUUCGGAAUUACUGGGAGUAAAGGGCUCGUAGGCGGCCAACUAAGUCGGACGUGAAAUCCCUCAGCUUAACUGGGGAACUGCGUCCGAUACUGGAUGGCUUGGAUUUGGGAGAGGGAUGCGGAAUUCCAGGAGUAGCGGUGAAAUGCGUAGAUAUCUGGAGGAACACCGGUGGCGAAGGCGGCAUCCUGGACCAAUAUUGACGCUGAGGAGCGAAAGCCAGGGGAGCAAACGGG
rnacentral:rRNA from 1 species